rnacentral:rRNA from 1 species
UACGAAGGGGGCUAGCGUUGCUCGGAAUCACUGGGCGUAAAGCGCACGUAGGCGGACUCUUAAGUCAGGGGUGAAAUCCUGGAGCUCAACUCCAGAACUGCCUUUGAUACUGGGAGUCUUGAGUUCGGGAGAGGUGAGUGGAACUGCGAGCGUAGAGGUGAAAUUCGUAGAUAUUCGCAAGAACACCAGUGGCGAAGGCGGCUCACUGGCCCGAUACUGACGCUGAGGUGCGAAAGCGUGGGGAGCAAACAGG